UUUUUCCCCCACUGUAAGUCGCUUUGGAUAAAAGCGUCUGCCAAUUGGCAUAUA
rfam:Salmo salar isolate Sally breed double haploid chromosome ssa07, whole genome shotgun sequence.